rnacentral:rRNA from 1 species
AUUGAACGCUGGCGGCAGGCCUAACACAUGCAAGUCGAGCGGAGCGGCGGACGGGUGAGUAAUGCCUAGGAAUCUGCCUGGUAGUGGGGGAUAACGUCCGGAAACGGGCGCUAAUACCGCAUCCUAUCAGCUGAGCCUAGGUCGGAUUAGCUAGUUGGUGGGGUAAGGGCUUACCAUAGCGACGAUCCGUAGCUGGUCUGAGAGGAUGAUCAGUCACACUGGAACUGAGACACGGUCCAGACUCCUACGGGAGGCAGCAGUGGGGAAUAUUCGACAAUGGGCGAAAGCCUGAUCCAGCAACGCCGCGUGUGUGAAGAAGGUCUUCGGAUUGUAAAGCUCUUUAAGUUGGGAGGCGUUACCAACAGAAUAAGCACCGGCUAACUACGUGCCAGCAGCCGCGGUAAUAC